UAAACAACCGUCGGUCCGUCGCUAGUCCCCCUUCUCUUUGCUGUGAACCACCAGUUCGACAGUUCUCAUUAAAGGCAGCACAUCAACAACAAAAGAGGGAUUAGGGGUUUCAAGAAGGUGUAAUGUCGAUGAAUCCUUCAAAUUCCAACUUCUUGAUUCCUCUCAAUGUCUACAUUGCGAUGUUCUUCCUUCCAAAGAUAUGGUUGAUCUGCUGUUGGUGGCACAACAAGUGCGUUAUGCAUUAAUUAUGGCGGUGCAGUUCCAGCCUUGGCUUAGCUUGGGUCUUCCAUCAUAUAAUGUCGCAGGUUAUUUUCAUCACAUUCUUCUCAGGGUGACUGGUAGACACAAUUCUUGGACAUCCUCAACUUAUUAAUGUACAGAUGGUAGAUAAAAAGGUAUAAGUUUGAUGCUAUUGCCAAUUGGGGACUGAACAUGUGAUUGUGUACCAAGACUUCAUGAUCUUGCUCAAGUCAAAUUAUGGGUUAUGCUCAUUUUAGUAGGGUUCUCUAUCAUGCUUCAUUGCUUUACUAAUGAGUCACUUUCCUUACCAUAUGUAUACGCAUAAUUGAUAUCUUGAGGGCCUAAGUCCACAAAGAGGGCCUGCUAUUCCUCUAUUUGUUUUCUUUGGCAAAGAAAUUCCUUCACUUUGUGCCCCAGACUGUUCAAACAAGGAAAAAGAUCACUCAACUAUCUCUUCCCAUUGCUCAGUGUCACAAUCCCGUUCUUAAGUCUUUUGCUGUUGUUCGGUCUGCAGAUACCGUUGCCUGCUUGGAAGGUAGGUAUCAUUGAUUCAUUUCUUUCCAUUUCCUUAGUUACCAAUCUACACACUUUCUGCUUCACAUUUGGAGUGGCUGCAGGAAAUAGAGAGUAAGGUUGCCAUCAUGGUUUGUCUUGGAGAAGUCUUUCUUGUAGAAGUUUUGAUUUGAUAUUAUACGUAAUAUGUACAAAACUUUCAUGGAAGCUGGAAACACUAGGGAAGGGAAGACUGAAAUGCUUAGAAAGAAAGACAAAGUGGACAUGUAGAGAGACCCUUUGAUAGAUCAUAAAAAGAAUGUAAAUUCCUAUAUUUGGUUUGAGUAGUGCGCCAAAGCAAUUGAGCCUGUGUAUCAGAAAUUCAUUGCCAUUGAACUCAAACUCACAUACUUGUGACCUUGACAAUACAUGCUUGUCACUUGGCUAGGUCCUCUGUGUGUAUUAGGACUUAGGAGUGAUGCUGAAUCAAAUCAACUUGUUUUUUUAUUUUUAUUUUUAAAGGUAUUUGAUUCAAUAAAUAGAGUAAUUAAUCCCGUCAUUAGCAUGCA